CUUGCGAACUAUGGAAGGAUGAAUUUCCUCUUUAAGUUUUAUUCUUUCAUUUAAUAAUAUAUAUUUUUAUGCUUCUUCACUCAUCUAUCUUUGAUCUUUCCUAUCACUCAUCAAAAUUUUCAUUCUUUAAAAUUGCAACUCCACAUCAUUCAAUUAAUAUUGUGAUUCCCAGCAAUAAGGUUGCUUCUAUAUUCUUAACCUUCUUGACAUCAUAUCUGCACAUACCUUAAAACAAAUUAUUAGCAUUAGUUUUUGUUUUUUUACUCUUUUUUUCAUCUCUCUACCUUAAACUUUAUCAUAGUAUCAGAGUUCUCCUUUUUUUUAGAGCUUUAUAUAAUCAUUAAUAUCAGUUGUGCAAUCUUUUCUUUGUUCCGCUCAUGGCUUCUGUUCGUGAUGCUGCUUCUCAUGAACUUGGUUUUGAAGAAGGCAUGAUCUGGCUACCCUCAAAGAUACAUAUCCAAAUUUAGAUUAUGAGGAUAUUAAAGUUACUACAGUCAAACCCUUUCCAUCAAAAGAUGCAGGAUCUAUGUUUUUAAUGCAUUUGUUUCCAUAUUCGACUACUUCAUUCACUUUGAUGCUUGCUUUGGACUCAAGAAGAUUGAGAAAGUCAAUGUUGAUCGAAGAUUUCUAAAAGCUACUGUUUUGACUGAUGUAUUUCUAGCAUGUUUAGCUAUAUUUCAAUUUUUCAGACUUUAUUUUUAUUUCCUUUGAUGUAGAUGUAUUAUCUUCUUCCAACUUGUGGGGUAUUAUAAAUAUAGAUUAGCUUAAUUAGUUAUAAGUUAGACUCAAUAUAUUUAUAUAAAAAUUGAUUUGCUCA